UAAACCCUAGUUAGAAAAUCUGAACUGGGGGCAGAGGAACCAUUUGCGGCUCGUCUCAGGGAACCUAAGGACAGAGGCAACCUCCACUUCCUUCUCUCCCAUCAUGGGUCGUAUGCACAGUCAUGGGAAGGGCAUGUCCGCCUCAGCUUUGCCUUACAAGAGAAGUUCACCUAGCUGGUUAAAGGUCACUGCUCCAGAUGUUGAAGAGAACAUCUGCAAGUUUGCAAAGAAGGGUAUGACUCCAUCUCAGAUCGGUGUGAUUCUUCGUGACUCUCAUGGUAUUGCUCAGGUCAAGAGCGUUACUGGAAGCAAGAUCUUGCGUGUUCUUAAAGCUCAUGUGGAACUUGUGGAAUUGAAACCCAUUUCUGCACUGAGCCCGAUUAAAGAGGUCUUGCUCCUGAAAUUCCUGAGGAUCUAUACCAUCUUAUCAAGAAGGCAGUGUCAAUUAGGAAGCAUUUGGAGAGGAAUAGGAAGGAUAAGGAUUCAAAGUUUCGGUUGAUUUUGGUUGAGAGCAGGAUUCAUAGGCUUUCUCGUUACUACAAGAAAACGAAAAAGCUUCCUCCUGUCUGGAAAUACGAGUCGACCACUGCCAGCACUCUGGUUGCUUAGGUUGGGAAAGCAAGACGGAAGGUUUUGGUAUUCUUUACAUGGAAGGACAGAGAAACCUAGAUAUAGUAGUUUGCUUUUGUGCUCUUCGGAUUUUGUAUCAACUUUUGCAUCUUUAUCCCACAUUUCUAUACCACAUGAUGCGUUUGGUUGUUGUGUUCCCUAAAAAUAGGACUGCUUAUUUUGGUUUGAGUAA